CAGGCAUCUCGAGAAGAUAAAAAGAAAGGCAUUUCUUUCGCAAGUGAACUCAAGAAGCUCACCAAGUCAACUAAACAGCCCCGAGGACUUACAUCACCUUCUCAGCUCUUGACCUCAGAAAGUAUCCAAACCAAGGAGGAGAAACCUGUGGGUGGCUUGUCCUCCAGUGACACAAUGGAUUACCGACAGUGACUAAGGGCAGCAUGUUUAACCCAGGAGGAUGUCCCUUGAAGGCAGGUAGGAAUGGGACCUUAAAACAGGAAAAGGGCUCUGAAGAUAUGUGUAACAUGAUAUGCUAUUGAACACCGCCUAUAAAGAAAAAGGGAAAGAGGCUGGGCGUGGUGGCGCAUGCCUGUAAUCCCAGCACUUUGGGAGGCCAAGGCAGGCAGAUCACCUGAGGUCAGUUCAAGACCAGCCUGACCAACAUGGAGAAACCCCGUCUCUACUAAAAAUACAAAAUUAGCUGGGCAUGGUGGUGCAUGCCUAUAAUCCCAGCUACUGGGGAGGCUGAGGCAGGAGAAUCACUUGAACUUGGAAGGCAGAGGUUGCAGUGAGCUGAGAUCACACCAUUGCACUCCAGCCUGGGCAAUGAGAGUGAAAACUCCGUCUCAAAAAAAAAAAAAGAAAAAAAAAAAUAUAUAUAUGUAACUUGAGCUUUUGUAAUUUUAGA
rnacentral:lncRNA from 10 species